rnacentral:rRNA from 2 species
GUGUGCCUAAUACAUGCAAGUCGAACGCGUUGGCCCAAUUGAUUGAUGGUGCUUGCACCUGAUUGAUUUUGGUCGCCAACGAGUGGCGGACGGGUGAGUAACACGUAGGUAACCUGCCCAGAAGCGGGGGACAACAUUUGGAAACAGAUGCUAAUACCGCAUAACAACGUUGUUCGCAUGAACAACGCUUAAAAGAUGGCUUCUCGCUAUCACUUCUGGAUGGACCUGCGGUGCAUUAGCUUGUUGGUGGGGUAAUGGCCUACCAAGGCGAUGAUGCAUAGCCGAGUUGAGAGACUGAUCGGCCACAAUGGGACUGAGACACGGCCCAUACUCCUACGGGAGGCAGCAGUAGGGAAUCUUCCACAAUGGGCGCAAGCCUGAUGGAGCAACACCGCGUGAGUGAAGAAGGGUUUCGGCUCGUAAAGCUCUGUUGUUAAAGAAGAACACGUAUGAGAGUAACUGUUCAUACGUUGACGGUAUUUAACCAGAAAGUCACGGCUAACUACGUGCCAGCAGCCGCGGUAAUACGUAGGUGGCAAGCGUUAUCCGGAUUUAUUGGGCGUAAAGAGAGUGC